ACGGGUGAGUAACACGUGAGAAUUUACCUUUAGGAGGGGGACAACAACUGGAAACGGUUGCUAAUACCCCAUAUGCUUUCGAGUCAAAUGAAUUUAUUCGCCUAAAGAGAAGCUCGCGGCUGAUUAGCUUGUUGGUAGGGUAAGAGCCUACCAAGGCGACGAUCAGUAUCUGGUUUGAGAGGACGAUCAGACACACUGGAACUGAGACACGGUCCAGACUCCUACGAGAGGCAGCAGUGGGGAAUUUUCCGCAAUGGGCGAAAGCCUGACGGAGCAAUACCGCGUGAGGGAAGACGGCCUAUGGGUUGUAAACCUCUUUUUUCAGGGAGGAAUAAUUGACGUGUACCUGAAGAAUAAGCAUCGGCUAACUCCGUGCCAGCAGCCGCGGUAAGACGGAGGAUGCAAGUGUUAUCCGGAAUCACUGGGCGUAAAGCGUCUGUAGGUUGUUGAACAAGUCAACUGUUAAAUCUUGAGGCUCAACUUCAAAAUCGCAGUCGAAACUGUUUGACUAGAGUAUAGUA
rnacentral:rRNA from 1 species